GUUCGCCAGUAGAGGGCACGUGCUGACAAUUUUUCCAGCAUACAGAGUUAAAAGACGCGUUUGAAAACGAGGCUAAAUACAUAGUCUUAAUCAAUAUAGUCAAUAUAAUCAGUUAAUUCGUCACGAAGUAAAGUUUAAUUAAUGUCCCUCUCUCCCUUGGGUGCCGUGCUUUGCCAGUAUGUGAUACAUUUAUAUCGUCGAAAUUGUACAUUUAUAUCCUGGAAAUAACUCGUGAUUGCAGUAUUCCGUGGAAGCGCCUUUGAGUUUGUGGAAUCAAUACGGGGCUGCCUGCCUCACAGGUAUAGGGUGAAAACCAUAAAUACUGUCGAGUUCACAUAGAGAUUAAAGCCAUUGUUGCAUGGCGUUACACGCUGUGUAGGCCGCCACAGUGUAGGUCUAAUAAUAAAUGUUUGGAAGUACCACCUGCCCAUGAGCUCAGCUGAAACACUGGACACCGAUAGUGGUCCCUUUGUGGCCCCCUGGGGGUCCCCUGAGCCCAGUUUCAAAAAGUCUGUCCUACAGGGCCGAAUUACCCACAGAGCGCAUGUCCUGCUCUUGAGUGUAGUCAACAGUGGUGCCUGGGCCGCCAACCCCACUGGUGAUGCCAUUAAGAAGACCUCCGCCAUUACCACCUCCAAGACCUGAGGCAGCACCACCAUCAGGACCUCCACCAACUUUAUCAACAAUUCC